UUCCGGUUGAUCCUGCCGGAGGCCAUUGCUAUCGGUGUCCGAUUUAGCCAUGCGAGUUGUACGUAUAACGUAGCAAACUGCUCAGUAACACGUGGCCAAACUGCCCUAUGGACUAGGAUAACCUCGGGAAACUGAGGCUAAUCCUGGAUAGUACAUCCAGCCUGGAACUGGCGGAUGUAUCAAAUGCUCCGGCGCCAUAGGAUGUGGCUGCGGCCGAUUAGGUAGACGGUGGGGUAACGGCCCACCGUGCCGAUAAUCGGUACGGGUCAUGAGAGUGAGAGCCCGGAGACGGACUCUGAGACACGAGUCCGGGCCCUACGGGGCGCAGCAGGCGCGAAACCUUUACACUGCACGCCAGUGCGAUAGGGGGACACCGAGUGCGAGGGCAUAGAGCCCUCGCUUUUCUGUACCGUAAGGUGGUACAGGAACAAGGGCUGGGCAAGACCGGUGCCAGCCGCCGCGGUAACACCGGCAGCCCAAGUGAUGGCCGAUAUUAUUGGGCCUAAAGCGUCCGUAGCUGGCCGAGCAAGUUCGUCGGGAAAUCCACUCGCUUAACGAGUGGGCGUCCGGCGAAAACUGUUCGGCUUGGGACCGGAAGACCUGAAGGGUACGUCUGGGGUAGGAGUGAAAUCCCGUAAUCUUGGACGGACCACCGAUGGCGAAAGCACUUCAGGAGGACGGAUCCGACAGUGAGGGACGAAAGCUAGGGUCUCGAACCGGAUUAGAUACCCGGGUAGUCCUAGCCGUAAACGAUGCUCGCUAGGUGUGGCACAGGCUACGAGCCUGUGCUGUGCCGUAGGGAAGCCGUGAAGCGAGCCGCCUGGGAAGUACGUCUGCAAGGAUGAAACUUAAAGGAAUUGGCGGGGGAGCACUACAACCGGAGGAGCCUGCGGUUUAAUUGGAUUCAACGCCGGG
rnacentral:rRNA from 1 species